GGAUGAGCCCGCGGCCUAUCAGGUAGUUGGUGAGGUAACGGCCCACCAAGCCUACGACGGGUAGCCGGCCUGAGAGGGUGACCGGCCACACUGGGACUGAGACACGGCCCAGACUCCUACGGGAGGCAGCAGUGGGGAAUAUUGCACAAUGGGCGCAAGCCUGAUGCAGCAACGCCGCGUGAGGGACGAUGGCCUUCGGGUUGUAUACCUCUUUUAGCAGGGAAGAAGCGAAAGUGACGGUACCUGCAGAAAAAGCACCGGCUAACUACGUGACAGCAGCCGCGGCCG
rnacentral:rRNA from 1 species